CACCACCAAGGCGACGGAGCAGGACUAGGCAUACUGCCCCAUCCUACUACACCGAGGCUCCCAACUGCUACACCAAGGCUCUCGCUGAUUACUUCACAGAAACGGUCGAGUUCUACUCCGAAGCGGCAAAGUACUUCUCUGCCCCGAUCUACACAACCACAACUG